rnacentral:rRNA from 1 species
GACGAACGCUGGCGGCGUGCUUAACACAUGCAAGUCGUACGGUAAGGCCCUUUCGGGGGUGCACGAGUGGCGCACGGGUGAGUAACACGUGAGUAACCUGCCCACAACUUUGGGAUAACGCUAGGAAACUGGUGCUAAUACUGGAUAUGUGCUCCUGCUGCAUGGUGGGGGUUGGAAAGCUCCGGCGGUUGUGGAUGGACUCGCGGCCUAUCAGCUUGUUGGUGGGGUAGUGGCCUACCAAGGCGGCGACGGGUAGCCGGCCGGAGAGGGUGACCGGCCACAUUGGGACUAAGAUACGGCCCAGACUCCUACGGGAGGCAGCAGUGGGGAAUAUUGCACAAUGGGCGCAAGCCUGAUGCAGCAACGCCGCGUGCGGGAGGACGGGCUUUGGGUUGUAAACCGCUUUCAGCAGGGACGAAGCUUUUUGUGACGGUACCUGCAGAAGAAGCACCGGCUAACUACGUG